GACCGAUCGUCGCAUUAGUCUGUAAUCAAGCCUUGGACUACCUUUAGUUGCUGACCUCAAAAUGCCAGUGAACUCAAUUAAGGGCAUUGCAUGCAAUCGCCUACAAAAUGCUAAUGAACAACAAAUUUGGCACAAGUAGGAGAGUUGAAAUUUUUGAUAUGGCCAAGGAAAGGAAGGAAAGGAAAGCUAAGUCCAGGACAGGGCUGACGACAGGCGACACGAUUAAUAAUUGUCAGAAAAUAUUGUACCAUCUGUGUGUGUGUGUGUAUUAUAAAUCUGUAAGCGAGAGUGAAAACUGUAAUUAAUGGCUCAACGACAACAGCAACAA